rnacentral:rRNA from 1 species
UACCGAGGGUGCGAGCGUUAAUCGGAAUUACUGGACGUAAAGCGUGCGUAGACGGUUAUUUAAGUCGGGUGUGAAAGCCCCGGGCUCAACCUGGGAAUUGCAUUCGAGACUGAAUAGCUAGGGUACGGUAGAGGGAAGCGGAAUUUCCGGUGUAGCGGUGAAAUGCGUAGAUAUCGGAAGGAACAUCAGUGGCGAAAGCGGCUUCCUGGACCAGUACCGACGUUCAGGCACGAAAGCGUGGGGAGCAAACAGG